GUUUCUUCAGUUAAAGCCUUCAGAGACACAUAAUAAAUUUGGACCAGGGGAUUUUUAGUUAUCAGCACUGUCUGAAGAAUGACAACAUCUUUUUGAGAACCACAUUGGACCAUACCCCACUAUCUUAAAUGAUUGAAAUUCAGGAAGUAUCUAAUCUGGACCCCGUUCUUUUUCCAUGUCAAAUCUGUAGUAACCUACUGAAUGAGCAAGCAAAUAUUCUGACCCAUUGGGAUUAAAACAAAGGCACAGUGAACUCACAGCAUCUUCUUUGGGAUUACUCAGGAACCAGAACUUUUCACACAAAUGUAAGAAAUUCUACCAAGGAAUCCCUUUACCUAACAGCAUCUCACAAAGCUCCAAUCAGAUUCCAGAAAAGGCCUCUUGAUACAUCCAGCAUUUUGUGAACAACUUAUUCUUAGAUCAUUGGUUUUCCAAAGGCUUUGUGGCCAUGAAGCCCUUUGAAUGAAAACUUUAUGGAAGCCCAGAGUAAAAGUGAAGCUGCUCUGGAGGAAGCAGAAGUGGGGGGCCUGAAACCUGCCACAAGCAUCUUACUUUACCACCAUGGUGACACCUAAGGAGACUUCUUUACAACAACUAGAAUUCUUCAGAACACAGUUUGAAAACCACUGCCCUAGACAACAGUAUGUUCGACCUGAAUGGCAUUCUGUUCUGUACCUCUACCCAACACCAUCCAUGUUCAGUUGAUGCUGAACGUUCUUAGGAAUACUUACUGUGGGCAAACUCAGAAAAGUACAAGAAGAUGGGCAUAUCUUUGCCCCCCAGAGUAGUCAUAUGGACCGAACGUGGUAUCAAAUGGACCUAGAGUAAUAGCCCUCUACCUACAGAUGGACUUCCAGUGAUUCCUGGAUUUGAUAUAGCCAGAGAGCAAUUUAUACAUACUCUACACUGACAAACCCCCUUACCCAGUUUCUUUCACAAACACCAGAUGCUCUAGUGGUACUUGAAAUACAUGACCUUGAAGUCUUGAUCCUCCUUGGAUACAUGAAUCGCCAGGUAUUGAAGCUGAUGCUGAAGUUGAUGUCUCAUUGAGGCCAUGUUAGAGCAGCUGUACAUUGGACCGCCCAUCCUCAGCCAUGGUACUCUACUUCGUGUGCAAGGGAUAACUAUAAACUGAAAGCAGAAUUCAAAGACUGGCAACAUUACCUAAAAGGGUACCUGGUUAUUAUUCAUCUUCUCAGACUAUGUCACUAUCGCUCAACCAGUGGCAGUUACACUAUUUCUUGGUUUUUAUUCAGUUUAACUGCUGUUUCCAGGAUAAAUGAGCUAAUAACCUUUGAAAAAUCGGUAAAACAAAUCCUCAGUCACUAGCACAUCUGCCUAGUCUCCAAAAUUAUGAAUACUCAGCUCUAACUACAUGUAAUACCUGAUCCACAAGAGACAAUCUCUGAACAUCCUUUCUCGUCUGUGUGAUUUAAAAUGUGACCAUUUCGAAAAUUUUUUUCCAGCCAAGAGAGAUUUUAAGAUGGGUGUUUUGAUGUCUGGUAACAUCAGCUGUUGAUGUUAAUGAUGUUUGGAGGUAGGCCUUUUGACCAGGCCAUGAUAGCUUACUUGGUGGGCAUCUCAAAUUGCAUAUCAUCUACCUUUUUGCUGGAAAUGUAGACUGACUUGAAAUCUACAAAGCCUGCAGCUAAAGAUUUUAUCAGUAGACUCAAGAGCUUCCUGCUGCUUCCUAAUGUCACAAGACCACAGUCCCCUGUCCCUGUGGAUGUUUUCAUGGAAUUUCAUCUGUCUCAGUACUAUUAUUUUACACUGAAUCAGAGUGGCUGACUUCAUUCCUGUCAUGAAAUACUCUCAGGUAUUAAGACAACUUACCUGUUCAGGAGGGAUUUGAUUCAUGAAUUCCUCCCAGACCAGAUCAUGUAGAACAAGUAGACUUUGAUUUGUGCCAUGAGAAAAGUCUCAUUUCUUCAGAGUCAACUUAAGGGCCCGCUGUCCUCAGCUACUUUAACGAGUGCACUGGUUAAAUGUUGGAAAUGUUUCUUUAUAUCUUUUGUCUCUUAUCCUCUAGACUAAUUGUGAUUAUAUGAGUCAGUCUACAAAUCAUCAAACAAGGCCUAAGUCUGGUUACUCUAUACUGCUCACCCUCAACAAAUAAAAUCUGAUGACUGGCCUGCUUGUAUAUACAACUGUUAUUUGUAAAGAAGAAAUUAUCUACAAGCUUAGUUUUUCUAUUGCCUUCAAAAUGUCAGCUCGAUUUUCUUUUUCUCCUGUACUUGACGGAAAAAGACAUUGAUCUACACUGGCAGUCAUUCCCUUUAAUCCUGUCAAAAUGAGGGACUAAAGGUAAAGAUGAUCAUCUGUUCAAGAGUCUGAUGUACACUGUGUAUAAGAAUUGAUGGUGGAAAAAGCGUAAAACUCAAACCUAGUAUCUUACUAUCUCCAUGCCUCAGAUCUCAUCUUUCAGCAGUACCAUUCAACCAGUCUGAGGCCUUGACUUGUUGAUAAGAUGAUUCUCAGAGAUGGGCUGAGUUACAGAAGAUGGAGACUUGAUUACCAAAGAAAGUAGGGCCAACCUUGAUGAACCUGGCUCUCCCAACCCUAUCACUCCCAGAUGUAGCAUAGACUCCUAAACAGAACCUCAAGUCUGGAUUAAGGAGAUAGCCUUCUCCAGAGCUGAAAGUUCUUGGGCAGAUGAGCAGGAAAAUGAAAGUUGCUGUACCUGACUGGCCCUUUAAGAUCAGAAAAUUGUAUCUAGAAUAAACGCUGUGGAUUAACCCUGGAGUACUCAGGGUUAAAACUAAUGUACAGAAUUUCGAUAUUAAACUGCCUGUUCUUCUAGAUCAUAGCCUGGCUAUUGAUAUGGCUGGCCCUGCUGAAAGUACCUUACUUACUUGCCUAUUUACCUGACACAGCCCUUGCCUGUUUUUUUGACAUAUUGCUGCAAUCAGACUGGCUGUCCUUGAGAAGACUAUAGCUGAUCUCGGUCUAUCUUAUACCCAGUUCCACCAAGGGGUUUUGAACAGAAGCAGCCUGCACCUCACCCACCAGGACUUAAUGUUCACAACAGGAAGAACCGUGCUGUAUACUCCUUGACCAGCAGCUUUUUUUUUUUAACUGCAGAGUAAGCCUCUAUGCCUAUAUAUAUUAGCUCAUUUUCAGCACUUGGGACCCUUUCUACCAGAUCUGAAGGAGCAGAGCAGAUUGAAGUCACUGUCCAUUCCUCUGUUCCGUGGUAAUACAGAGAUGAAUCUGAUUUGCCAGUACUCACAGAAAUGUACCAGUUCAACCUGGCAAAAGACUUAAAGGAACAUAAGAAAACUUUUCCACUGAGGUUAAAAUUUACCACUGACUUGAUGAGCGUCACAGAACUAUUUGCCAGUGGGAGGCUGGUUGUCCUGCUUCAUGUCAGCAAGACAGUUGGGCUCUCAAACUCACGACCACUGAGUUUACUUACAUUGAAACUCUAUUGUGUCAUCCAGAGUGUGCUAUUGGACAUGAUUAUUCCAUUCAAAUGGAUUACAAGCCUCCUGAGUAGAAGACAAACUUACUCCUCAUGAUUUUUUCCAGAAUACAUUUAUUGUCAAGGAAGGAACAAUGCCAGCUGUUACCAUUCAACUUUAUGAACAGAGAUUAAACU